rnacentral:rRNA from 1 species
AUUGAACGCUGGCGGCAGGCCUAACACAUGCAAGUCGAACGAGUGGCGGACGGGUGAGUAAUGUCUGGGAAACUGCGUGAUGGAGGGGGAUAACUACGGGAAACGGUAGCUAAUACCGCAUACCAUCAGAUGUGCCGAGAUGGGAGUAGCUAGUUGGUGGGGUAACGGCGCACCAAGGCGACGAUCCCUAGCGUGUCUGAGAGGAUGACCGGCCACACUGGAACUGAGCCACGGUCCAGACGCCUACGGGAGGCAGCAGUGGGGAAUAUUGCACAAUGGGCGAAAGCCUGAUGCAGCAAUGCCGCGUGUAUGAAGAAGGCUUUCGGGUUGUAAAGUACUUUCAGUGGGGAGGCGGUAUCCGCAGAAGAAGCACCGGCUAACUCCGUGCCAGCAGCCGCGGUAAUAC